AUUGAACGCUGGCGGCAUGCCUAACACAUGCAAGUCGAACGGUAACGCGGGGGCAACCCUGGCGACGAGUGGCGGACGGGUGAGUAAUACGUAGGAAUCUGCCCAUUUGUGGGGGAUAACCCGGCGAAAGCCGGGCUAAUACCGCAUACGCUCUACGGAGGAAAGCGGGGGAUCGCAAGACCUCGCGCGAAUGGAUGAGCCUACGUCGGAUUAGCUAGUUGGUAGGGUAACGGCCUACCAAGGCGACGAUCCGUAGCUGGUCUGAGAGGACGAUCAGCCACACUGGGACUGAGACACGGCCCAGACUCCUACGGGAGGCAGCAGUGGGGAAUAUUGGACAAUGGGGGCAACCCUGAUCCAGCAAUGCCGCGUGUGUGAAGAAGGCCUGCGGGUUGUAAAGCACUUUCAGAGGGGAAGAAAAAAUCGGAGCUAACACCUCCGGUCUUGACGUUACCCUUAGAAGAAGCACCGGCUAACUCCGUGCCAGCCGCCGCAGUAAAAC
rnacentral:rRNA from 1 species